rnacentral:rRNA from 13 species
CGCAUCCUGGAGCUGGAUUCGGUUCCAAGGGUUGGGCUGUUCGCCCAUUAAAGCGGUACGCGAGCUGGGUUCAGAACGUCGUGAGACAGUUCGGUCCAUAUCCGGUGUAGGCGGUAGAGCGUUGAGAGGAGCCUUCCAUAGUACGAGAGGACCUAGAAGGACGCACCACUAGUAUACCAGUUCUCGUUCCAACGGGAAACGCUGGGUAGCCAAGUGCGGAGCGGAUAACUGCUGAAAGCAUCUAAGUAGGAAGCCCACCUCAAGAUGAGCGCUCUCUAGAGGUCUUGGCAAGAGAAGCCGUUUGAUAGGUGUCAGGUGUAAGGCCAGCAAUGGUUGUAGCUGAGACAUACUAACAGACC